rnacentral:rRNA from 1 species
GACGAACGCUGGCGGCGUGCCUAAUACAUGCAAGUAGAACGCUGAAGGAGGAGCUUGCUUCUCCGGAUGAGUUGCGAACGGGUGAGUAACGCGUAGGUAACCUGCCUGGUAGCGGGGGAUAACUAUUGGAAACGAUAGCUAAUACCGCAUAAGAGUAGAUGUCGCAUGACAUUUGCUUAAAAGGUGCAACUGCACCACUACCAGAUGGACCUGCGUUGUAUUAGCUAGUUGGUGAGGUAACGGCUCACCAAGGCAACGAUACAUAGCCGACCUGAGAGGGUGAUCGGCCACACUGGGACUGAGACACGGCCCAGACUCCUACGGGAGGCAGCAGUAGGGAAUCUUCGGCAAUGGACGGAAGUCUGACCGAGCAACGCCGCGGGAGUGAAGAAGGGUUUCGGAUCGUAAAGCUCUGUUGUAAGAGAAGAACGAGUGUGAGAGUGGAAAGUUCACACUGUGACGGUAUCUUACCAGAAAGGGACGGCUAACUACGUG